CGGGCGGGGCACCCAUGGCGGGGAGUUCCUCCUGCGAGCAGAGUGCCCAUGGACCGGCACCGAGCUGCGGGCCGUGCGGCUUGCACUGCGGCUGGAAGGAGAUCCAGGCUGCGCAUCCGUCUCCAGAGCCGCGAGACAAGCCUGCUGUGCAAGAUUCCCUCUGUGCCUGGACUUCUUCCAGGAAAGGAAUCCUGAGUGGAAUCCCGUGUCCUGCACCACCACCUGACAAACAUUUUGGACAAAAUCUUGGACUAGGCAACCUGCAGAACCAGCCCUGCCAGCUUAAAGAAUGCCAGUACUGCUAUCUGUAAUAUUCUGUGUAAAUUCACAUUGUUAGUCUGUAAAAACUAGCGGUAUCAAAAAGUUGCUUUAACAGUUCAAAGCAGGCACUGCACAGAUAGGAGAUAUUCCCUAUAUGUAUGUAUUGGGGUUUUUGUUGGAGGUUUUCUUUAGCACUUUACCUAAGAGCGGAGAUGACCAAAGCCACUGUUUUCCUGAUGCUUUUCUUGGAUUCAGAAACACCAGGAGACAACUGACUCAAAGGAAAAGGAGUGACCCACCCCAGAUCUCUUCUCACACCCUACCUUAGGCUGGCCUAGGGAAAGGCUGCAAAGCAGAAGUAACAGUAACACUGAACUGGAGGCACAGGACAAAAUAAGAAAGUGGUUUUUGAACGCCUGAA